AGGGUCGUAGCUCAAAUGGUAGAGCGCUCGCUUUGCAUGCGAGAGGUAGAGGGAUCGAUACCCUUCGGCUCCA